rnacentral:misc_RNA from 1 species
GAAGUGCGAUAAGCAAUGUGAAUUGCAGAACCGUGAGUCAUCAGAUUUUUGAACGCAAUUGGCGCCAGUUGGUUCUCCAGCAGGCAUGCUUGUUUCAGUGUCUAGUUUUCUCAUCACCCAAAUCUUAAUGUGAGAGAUACCCUUCUCUUACCAAGUUCGAAAGCACUCUGAGUUCAGCACGUGGCUUCACAAUUUGUGGAUCCUCACUCAAUGCAGCAUUCACAUUUUACAAUGUGAACUCAUUGAGAGUUGAGUCAGUGCGUGCAGCAAUGUCUGCAAGUGCUUAGAUCUCUGAACUCUUGUUGUAUCUGAAAUCAAGCAGGAUCACCCGCUGAACUUAA